rnacentral:misc_RNA from 1 species
CCGAGUUUACCAACUCCCAAACCCCUGUGAACAUACCCGAAACGUUGCCUCGGCGGGACCGCCCCGGCGCCCUCUGCGGCCCGGAACCAGGCGCCCGCCGGAGGACCCAAACUCUUGUAUCUUUUUUAUAGCAUGUCUGAGUGGAAUCAUAAACAAAUGAAUCA